rnacentral:tRNA from 1 species
CAAAUUAGAGCUUGAUUAUUAAGUAGCUUAUUUACAUUGAGAUGAUAAUUGUGAAAUUCAAUUUAAUUUGA